rnacentral:misc_RNA from 1 species
GAUGAAGAACGCAGCGAAAUGCGAUAAGUAGUGUGAAUUGCAGAAGUCAGUGAAUCAUCGAAUCUUUGAACGCACAUUGCGCCUGCUAGUAUUCUGGGAGGCAUGCCUGUUUGAGCGUCAUUAAACCUCUCUCAAGUAUGAUUACUUGGAUGUGAAGGAAGAGUACCUUAAACUUAAGGAGUGUUCUCCUUUGAAAUUGAUUAGCAGAUGGUAAUGUUAUUAAAUCCCUGAUGUUGUAAGAAAUAACAGUGGUUUUGUAGACUAUUAUCUAGCUUUAAAUUAUAAUUUUUAUUAUGGUUGACCUCAAAUCAGGUAAGGAUACCCGCUGAACUUAAGCAUAUCAAUAAGCGGAGGA